rnacentral:rRNA from 1 species
AGCAGUAUCCAGAGUACUGUCAGACACGUGGACCCUGGCAGGAAGACGGGGGGACCACCCCCCAAGGCUAAAUACUACUCAGUGACCGAUAGCGAUUAGUACUGUGAAGGAAAGGUGAAAAGGACNNNNNNNNNNAACCGGGUGACCUAUCCAUGUCCAGGAUGAAGCUAAAGUAAAAUUUGGUGGAGGUCCGAACGCACAUCCGUUGAAAAGGGUGGCGAUGAGGUGUGGAUAGCGGAGAAAUUCCAAUCGAACCCGGAGAUAGCUGGUUCUCCUCGAAAUAGCUUUAGGGCUAGCCUCAUGGAGAGUCUAACGCAGGUAGAGCACUGAAUUCUUGAGGGGGCGUCAAAGUCUACCAAUAGAUAUCAAACUCCGAAUGGCGUAUAGAUAUACAUGGGAGUCAGACUGCGGGAUAUAAAUUCCGUAGUCAAAAGGGAAACAGCCCAGAUCUACAGCUAAGGUCCCAAAGUACAUGUUAAGUGGUAAAGGAUGUGGGAUUUCAUAGACAACUAGGAUGUUGGCUUAGAAG